AUAUUUUGAAUUAAGUAUAUUCAUCAUAUGUUAUCAGACGAAUGUUGUUAAAGAUAUAGGUUGAUAUUUGUGAAGGAAAAGAGUUGCCUCUCUCCCAGCAAACAUUGCACGCAAGGUGGAUAUGGAUUUUUAAAGAGUGCCAUAAAACACAAAUUGUGAAUGAUCCUUCCGCAGGUUCACCUACGGAAA
rnacentral:misc_RNA from 1 species